rnacentral:lncRNA from 1 species
AACCUGGAGGCAGAGGUUGCAGUGAGCUGAGAUCGCGCCAAAGGAAAGGGUCAAGGCAGAUCCAUUUCCCUCAACAUUUGGGCACAGACAGGCCUUUCUGGUAUAGGGGGAAGAGGCGGAUUUUGAUUUCGAGCCCCGUAAUUUGUUGAUUCUGAGAGUGUGCCCAUAGACAGGUUCACUGAAGGCUGCGUGGACAGCAAAUGCAACGGGCUUUAUGUUGAAUGGUGGCACACUUUGGGGAGCAGAGGAUGCACUGUAGGCUCACACCCUACAUCCGUGUGUUCCCUCUGUGUCCCAAGCCCAGGGGGAUGCCCAGCCUCAUCCUGCCCUGUCUUCCCAGGGCCAGCGGCAGUCAGCCCAUGUGGCUGCUGCACGAACCCCGCACUGACGCUGGACCAAGGCCUUGAGUGCCGUGCACGGACCACCUGCUUCGGACCCCACACCUGCAGUGCUGGGGAAAAUUACACCUUUUGGGGCCCCACGCCAGACCUCCCAGUCAGGAUCUCUGGGGUCUGUGCCUGGGGACUGCACUGAACCUUCAUCUCGGGUGAUUUGAGAGCCCCAUGAGAGUCCACCUGUGCCUUCCACACCUUUCCUCUGGGGGUGACCGUCCCACAGGGACCAGCCCCAGCCCUGCUCUCCGGGCCCCUACCACCACUGCCUCUUCAAACGCCGGCCCAUGAACCCCACAGGCACCCCGUAAGGCCGGCAGCAUCGUUUCCAGAUGGGCCCAGAAGCUUGAGCCGUGGCAAAGCUCAUGGGAUUUGGGAGCUGGGAUUCUGGGCUACUGUGCCUUGCACUCGCCCAAACCCAGCAGAGACUGUGGACUGGAGCAAGAGCGCUGUGAACCCAGCCUGGCUGCUCCCUGGAGAGGAGGGCGCGGGACUGGACUGAGCCCCACAAGCCUGAGGGAGGAGCACGGGCCUCAGGGGCUCCUGCUCUGGGCUACCACGGCUUCUUCCUGGCUGUGUUUCUUCUGGUCCAUCGGGCAACCUCUCUGAAUUCAACUGUCCAAUCAACAAAACGUGGGUAAGGGAGCACCCCUUUGCCUCUUCCAGGGUGGAAGGGGAGGGCGGGGGUGACCCUCUCUCGGCUUCCUCCCCUGUCCACCUUCCCAUUUUAGACCUGGGAUGGGAGACGUGUAGACUGUGUUCCAGGAUUCAGUCCCAGGUUCUUGGCAGAUGUGAAUGCUUGGCUGCCCUUCAGGCUGAGUGUAGCUGCCACAAAGACAAAGGGCCCAGCUGACCCUAGGGCUACUGUGUGCCCUCAUUCUGAGGCCUGCGAGUUGCCAGCCCUAUCCCUUCAAAGGGGUAGUUAGGUGCGUGUAUCUCACACCUGGACGCAUCACAAUGAGGUGGGAAAGUCAAGCACCUCCACAGCCCUUCCCUCUGGGACCCAGGGGAGUCUUCCCAGCCCCUAGCACUCCCCACUCUCCACCAAGGCCAACCAGCACCUGAGGGCAGGCCCCUCCCUGCCCCCAGCACAACUUCCUGACCAGGGACCACAGGCCUAGGGUCUGUGUCACUGAUCAACUGUGAAGGCUGAGACAUAGCCACCCCCACCCAUUCUGAAAAGGAAAAGCCCUCAGAGCUUCCCAGACUGGCACCUGCUCCUAGGGUGUGAGGAGGGUAGCACAGGGUCUGCCCUCAGAGACCUCAGGCUCAGAGAAUCAAGCUUCUCCCUCCCCUCCUGGGACCUACAGGGUCUGAGAUCGUCCACCAGGAGGAGGAGAAAGGAGUAGAGACCCCCUUCCUCGCUGCUGUCCUGGGACAGCCGGCACCCCUGGCACCCUCUGCCUCCCCACACUUCCAUGGCUUUGCCCUCUUGGCUUUCUGAGCCUCUGCCAAGCUUCUGUGCAUUCUUCAAGACCCACCUCAAAAGCCACCUCCAGGAAGCUGUCCUGGGUUCCUGUCCCUCGACCCCCAACAGAAUUAACUGCCCUCUCCUCUGCUCCCGCCUCCUGCUCCAGGCCCCUGGGGCUCACAGCUCUCAGGCUGUGGUUUUUCUCACCUUCCUGCAGCACAGCACCUCCCUGCGCAGACCAACCUUAUCCAAUCAACAAACGGGCACUGAGUCCCUCCCUGAGCAAGCUCCGUGGAGGAAAGGGGCCGCCACGUGGGGGAUGUGAGAUAGUUUAUCCCCUUGGCCUACAUGUAGGGGUGGGCUGGAUGAGGCACCCCUCUCAUUGAAAGUCCUGUGGAGGCUCUGAGGGCACCCACAGUAUCUAGAGCUGGGGCCAGAAGCUGGACCUGUUGCCAACCAAGACGCUGUCUCCCUGGCCCUUGCUUCCCUCACUGUGAGAAUAGGAGCGGUGCACGCAAAGGCAUGCCCUCAGCAGCCCUUUGAGGGGGGUGCUGUGAGGGGAUUGGUGGCCAGGGCACAGAAAGGUUAAGUGGCUGGCUGAGGUCACACAGCAAGGCAGGUGCAACUCCAAGAGGUCUCUGCACAGGGCAUGUUCUCUGUCUGCCCUCUCUGCUACUCCAGGUGUGGCCUCGGGAGAGGGCUGGUCUCCAACUGCACACUUCCUGGAUAGCAGUGAUCAUGGACACAUUUCAGGUUGGGCACUUGCAGUGCCAAGGGGAGGAGGACGCAAUGUGAAGGGAAGGUUUCUUGGUCGUGGUCUGGAUUGACAAGGAGGGCCAGAGGCAAACAAGGAUCAUCCAGACGGGACGGUUCACCUCUCCCUAACCUCCACAGCGACCCCAGGGCUGUUGGGCACCAGAGGAGGAAAUGCUGACUCACUAAUAGGAAGCUGGGACACACCCUCGUGUUGCAACCGUGGCCUCCCGGGGGUGCGUCGGCCUCAUCUGGCCACUGGGCUGGCGUCCCCCUCUGCUUUCCAUCAGCGCAUACUGGAUUCCCUCACCUUUUGCCGUCCCCACACUGCGCCACCCUGCACCUGGCACCACUCAGCACCUCCUCCUGGCCCUACCCGUCCGCCAUGGAAUCCAGCCACUGAGAAAGGCACCAUUGAAACAGACAUAAUCAUGGGUCAGAAGAUGUGACUCAGCCUCUACUCAAAUCUGUUUGUCAAACCAAAAGGUGCUUCGUGUUUAAGUCAAACUAUCCCUAAUGCAUUUUCCAUUCUCUUCAAAAACCACAGCCAUCAGUUUUAAAAAAAGACAGAAAACAUGAAGCACACUUCUCUUGCCUGGCUUACCAUUUUCUUUGAUCCAUUAAAAUCCAAGAGUGAGCCCUUCCUCGUCUCUAGAGUGUGGAGCAAAGAGGGAAUAAUUAUCCAUAAAGUGGCCUUCUGAGUGUUUGCUUUGCGAUGAAAGAAAACUUUUGAGAGCUUGGAAUAAAGAAGGAAUAUGGGCUCCCUUUCCUGCAGUAGCUACUUUGUUUGGGUCUGAGAAGCACCAGUCAUGGUCAAGGUGAAACUUAGUGGCUGGGAUGGCUGGAGGAAGGAGCCGUUUGCUUAUUCAUUCAAGCAAAUGAGGGUGUCCUCGGCGGCAAAAUUCACCAGACUCAGAAAACUGCCCUGCCCCGUGACUUCCAUCUGCUCCUCUCCUGAUAAUUGUAAAAGCCAAUGAAGAUUGUGCUUCUUAACUACACAUCAGCCGGCUGAUUGUAAGUGUUGGGAAUAUAAUUAGGGGUACACGGCUCUGACCCUCACUCUUCGUAGGUUUAACAAGAUUGGACUUACGCAAUGGCAAGAAGGAAACCGAGAUUGAAAAUGACCAAUUUUGCUGGUUGAGAGGCGUCUUGUUUUCUGGAAGAAACUGAGAAUCUGCAGUUGUAGACUGGGAAUGCUAGAACCUCUGGAGUGGCAUCAACUCGAUCGGGGGCCAAAACCAUGAGAAAGCACCAAUAUUUUCCACCGUUUUUAACCAAACUCGGCUGUUGUUGGUCUAAAACCUGCCCUGGGUUUUGAGGGAGCGGUGCUUUUGUGAGCCCAGCUUGCCUUGAGUGCAUGGAUGGGAACCUGAAACCAGCCAGUCUUGCCUCCCACCCUCUCAACUUUUCCAGUAAAAAAUGUGACGGGCACUUUUUUUCCAGUAAAACUGUUCCCCCAGCAGGACAGCCUAUAUGCAGCUAGGUUCCUGGCAAAUGAGCAGGGAAUAAUAGCUGGCUAGAGGUGGGCGGGACUGAAAUACAGCUGUCCACCUCUCCGGAAAACAUCACCCAGGGUUCUCCCCAUCCCCAUCUGACCUUCCAGCCACUAAACAAAUAAAUAAGGCCUUAGAAGCUCCUAGAGUCAACCACAGCCUCAGCUUCUAAACCGAGGCUGUGAUUCUACGAAACUCACCUCACAUCUGUGUCAUCUUUGAAAGACUCCAAUGGCUGGAUUGGUUUGAUCCUAUUCCGAAGGGCUUAUAAAGAAGAAUCCAGCCGGGUGUGGUGGCUCACACCUGUAAUCCCAGCACUUUGGGAGGCCAAGGCGGGUGGAUCA